AUUGAACGCUGGCGGCAUGCCUUACACAUGCAAGUCGAACGGCAGCACGGGAGCAAUCCUGGUGGCGAGUGGCGAACGGGUGAGUAAUAUAUCGGAACGUGCCCAGUCGUGGGGAUAACGUAGCGAAAGCUACGCUAAUACCGCAUACGAUCUAUGGAUGAAAGCGGGGGAUCGCAAGACCUCGCGCGAUUGGAGCGGCCGAUAUCAGAUUAGGUAGUUGGUGAGGUAAAGGCUCACCAAGCCGACGAUCUGUAGCUGGUCUGAGAGGACGACCAGCCACACUGGGACUGAGACACGGCCCAGACUCCUACGGGAGGCAGCAGUGGGGAAUUCUGGACAAUGGGCGCAAGCCUGAUCCAGCAAUGCCGCGUGCAGGAUGAAGGCCUUCGGUUGUAAACUGCUUUGUACGGUAACGAAACGGUAAGACUCUAAUACAGUUUGCUAAUGACGGUACCGUAA
rnacentral:rRNA from 1 species